rnacentral:rRNA from 1 species
UACGGAGGGUGCAAGCGUUAUCCGGAUUCACUGGGUUUAAAGGGUGCGUAGGUGGGUCUGUAAGUCAGUGGUGAAAUCUUCGAGCUUAACUCGGAAACUGCCAUUGAUACUAUAGAUCUUGAAUUUUCUGGAGGUAAGCGGAAUAUGUCAUGUAGCGGUGAAAUGCUUAGAUAUGACAUAGAACACCAAUUGCGAAGGCAGCUCGUUACACGAAGAUUGACUCUGAGGCACGAAAGCGUGGGGAUCAAACAGG